GCUCCGGUGGCCUAGUGGUUAGAGCGUCCGCCUCGGAUGCGGGAGGUCGUGGGUUCGAUCCCCGGUCGAGUCA